rnacentral:rRNA from 1 species
GUAACGGCGAGUGAAGCGGCAAGAGCUCAAAUUUGAAAUCUGGCCCCUUUGGGGUCCGAGUUGUAAUUUGCAGAGGAUGCUUCGGGUGCGGUCCCCGUCUAAGUGCCCUGGAACGGGCCGUCAUAGAGGGUGAGAAUCCCGUCUGGGAUGGGCGGCCGCGCCCGUGUGAAGCUCCUUCGACGAGUCGAGUUGUUUGGGAAUGCAGCUCUAAGCGGGUGGUAAAUUUCAUCUAAAGCUAAAUACUGGCCGGAGACCGAUAGCGCACAAGUAGAGUGAUCGAAAGAUGAAAAGCACUUUGAAAAGAGAGUUAAACAGCACGUGAAAUUGUUGAAAGGGAAGCGUUGUCCACCAGACUCGCCCGGGGGGGUUCAGCCGGCACGUGUGCCGGUGUACUCCUCUCCGGGCGGGCCAGCAUCGGUUUGGGCGGCUGGUGAAAGGCCCCGGGAAUGUAACACCCUCCGGGGUGCCUUAUAGCCCGGGGUGCCAUACAGCCAGCCUGGACCGAGGCCCGCGCUUCGGCGAGGAUGCUGGCGUAAUGGUGGUCAACGGCCCGUCUUGAAACACGGACCAAGGAGUCUAACAUCUAUGCGAGUGUUCGGGUGUCAAACCCGUCCGCGCAGUGAAAGCGAACGGAGGUGGGAGCCUUUCGGGGCGCACCAUCGACCGAUCCUGAUGUCUUCGGAUGGAUUUGAGUAAGAGCAUAGCUGUUGGGACCCGAAAGAUGGUGAACUAUGCCUGAAUAGGGCGAAGCCAGAGGAAACUCUGGUGGAGGCUCGCAGCGGUUCUGACGUGCAAAUCGAUCGUCAAAUUUGGGUAUAGG